GACGUAGGGCGCGAGCGUUGUCCGGAUUUAUUGGGCGUAAAGAGCUCGUAGGCGGCUUGUCGCGUCGUCCGUGAAAACCUGCAGCUCAACUGCAGGCUUGCGGUCGAUACGGGCAGGCUGGAGUUCGGUAGGGGAGACUGGAAUUCCUGGUGUAGCGGUGAAAUGCGCAGAUAUCAGGAGGAACACCAGUGGCGAAGGCGGCUCACUGGCCCGGUACUGACGCUGAGGUGCGAAAGCGUGGGGGAGCAAACAGG
rnacentral:rRNA from 1 species